CUAGCGACUUCAGAGUUUGAUCCUGGCUCAGGAUGAACGCUGGCGGCGUGCCUAACACAUGCAAGUCGAGCGAUUUACUUCAGUAAAGAGCGGCGGACGGGUGAGUAACGCGUGGGUAACCUGCCCUGUACACACGGAUAACAUACCGAAAGGUAUGCUAAUACGAGAUAAUAUGCUUUUAUCGCAUGGUAGAAGUAUCAAAGCUCCGGCGGUACAGGAUGGACCCGCGUCUGAUUAGCUAGUUGGUGAGGUAACGGCUCACCAAGGCGACGAUCAGUAGCCGACCUGAGAGGGUGAUCGGCCACAUUGGAACUGAGACACGGUCCAA
rnacentral:rRNA from 1 species